rnacentral:rRNA from 1 species
UACGGGGGGUGCGAGCGUUGUCCGGAAUCACUGGGCGUAAAGGGCGCGUAGGUGGUUUGAUAAGGGUGUGGUGAAAGUCCGGGGCUCAACCCCGGAUCUGCCGUGCCGACUGUCAAACUCGAGGGCUGUAGAGGCAGACGGAAUUCCGGGUGUAGCGGUGGAAUGCGUAGAGAUCCGGAAGAACACCGGUGGCGAAGGCGGCCUGCUGGGCAGUAGCUGACGCUCAUGCACGAAAGCGUGGGGAGCAAACAGG